GGCGCGGUAUCCCAAUGCAGAGGAAGCACGCUUAGAACGUGUUCAGUUGGAGUUCGAGUCUCCAUCGCGCUACCA
rnacentral:tRNA from 1 species